AUCGGCCACCAUACCAUGUUAAAAACACUGAUUCUCAUCUAAUCUCUGGAGUUAAGCAACGUUGAUCGUGGAAAGUAUUUGCAUGGGUUAGUCGCUGGGAAUACCAAGUGUUGUCAAUU
rnacentral:rRNA from 1 species